GCCACUUUAGCUCAGUUGGUAGAGCAUCUCAUUCGUAAUGNNGAGGGUCGUAGGUUCGAGUCCUAUAAGUGGCUCCA
rnacentral:tRNA from 1 species